CUUAGAAUCCAUAGGUUAAUGAGGCGAACCGGGGGAACUGAAACAUCUAAGUACCCCGAGGAAAAGAAAUCAACCGAGAUUCCCCCAGUAGCGGCGAGCGAACGGGGAGCAGCCCAGAGCCUGAAUCAGUAUGUGUGUUAGUGGAAGCGUCUGGAAAGGCGCGCGAUACAGGGUGACAGCCCCGUACACAAAAAUGCACAUGCUGUGAGCUCGAUGAGUAGGGCGGGACACGUGGUAUCCUGUCUGAAUAUGGGGGGACCAUCCUCCAAGGCUAAAUACUCCUGACUGACCGAUAGUGAACCAGUACCGUGAGGGAAAGGCGAAAAGAACCCCGGCGAGGGGAGUGAAAAAGAACCUGAAACCGUGUACGUACAAGCAGUGGGAGCACGCUUAGGCGUGUGACUGCGUACCUUUUGUAUAAUGGGUCAGCGACUUAUAUUCUGUAGCAAGGUUAACCGAAUAGGGGAGCCGAAGGGAAACCGAGUCUUAACUGGGCGUUAAGUUGCAGGGUAUAGACCCGAAACCCGGUGAUCUAGCCAUGGGCAGGUUGAAGGUUGGGUAACACUAACUGGAGGACCGAACCGACUAAUGUUGAAAAAUUAGCGGAUGACUUGUGGCUGGGGGUGAAAGGCCAAUCAAACCGGGAGAUAGCUGGUUCUCCCCGAAAGCUAUUUAGGUAGCGCCUCGUGAAUUCAUCUCUGGGGGUAGAGCACUGUUUCGGCAAGGGGGUCAUCCCGACUUACCAACCCGAUGCAAACUGCGAAUACCGGAGAAUGUUAUCACGGGAGACACACGGCGGGUGCUAACGUCCGUCGUGAAGAGGGAAACAACCCAGACCGCCAGCUAAGGUCCCAAAGUCAUGGUUAAGUGGGAAACGAUGUGGGAAGGCCCAGACAGCCAGGAUGUUGGCUUAGAAGCAGCCAUCAUUUAAAGAAAGCGUAAUAGCUCACUGGUCGAGUCGGCCUGCGCGGAAGAUGUAACGGGGCUAAACCAUGCACCGAAGCUGCGGCAGCGACGCUUAUGCGUUGUUGGGUAGGGGAGCGUUCUGUAAGCCUGUGAAGGUGUACUGUGAGGUAUGCUGGAGGUAUCAGAAGUGCGAAUGCUGACAUAAGUAACGAUAAAGCGGGUGAAAAGCCCGCUCGCCGGAAGACCAAGGGUUCCUGUCCAACGUUAAUCGGGGCAGGGUGAGUCGACCCCUAAGGCGAGGCCGAAAGGCGUAGUCGAUGGGAAACAGGUUAAUAUUCCUGUACUUGGUGUUACUGCGAAGGGGGGACGGAGAAGGCUAUGUUGGCCGGGCGACGGUUGUCCCGGUUUAAGCGUGUAGGCUGGUUUUCCAGGCAAAUCCGGAAUAUCAAGGCUGAGGCGUGAUGACGAGGCACUACGGUGCUGAAGCAACAAAUGCCCUGCUUCCAGGAAAAGCCUCUAAGCAUCAGGUAACAUCAAAUCGUACCCCAAACCGACACAGGUGGUCAGGUAGAGAAUACCAAGGCGCUUGAGAGAACUCGGGUGAAGGAACUAGGCAAAAUGGUGCCGUAACUUCGGGAGAAGGCACGCUGAUAUGUAGGUGAAGUCCCUCGCGGAUGGAGCUGAAAUCAGUCGAAGAUACCAGCUGGCUGCAACUGUUUAUUAAAAACACAGCACUGUGCAAACACGAAAGUGGACGUAUACGGUGUGACGCCUGCCCGGUGCCGGAAGGUUAAUUGAUGGGGUCAGCGCAAGCGAAGCUCUUGAUCGAAGCCCCGGUAAACGGCGGCCGUAACUAUAACGGUCCUAAGGUAGCGAAAUUCCUUGUCGGGUAAGUUCCGACCUGCACGAAUGGCGUAAUGAUGGCCAGGCUGUCUCCACCCGAGACUCAGUGAAAUUGAACUCGCUGUGAAGAUGCAGUGUACCCGCGGCAAGACGGAAAGACCCCGUGAACCUUUACUAUAGCUUGACACUGAACAUUGAGCCUUGAUGUGUAGGAUAGGUGGGAGGCUUUGAAGUGUGGACGCCAGUCUGCAUGGAGCCGACCUUGAAAUACCACCCUUUAAUGUUUGAUGUUCUAACGUUGACCCGUGAUCCGGGUUGCGGACAGUGUCUGGUGGGUAGUUUGACUGGGGCGGUCUCCUCCUAAAGAGUAACGGAGGAGCACGAAGGUUGGCUAAUCCUGGUCGGACAUCAGGAGGUUAGUGCAAUGGCAUAAGCCAGCUUGACUGCGAGCGUGACGGCGCGAGCAGGUGCGAAAGCAGGUCAUAGUGAUCCGGUGGUUCUGAAUGGAAGGGCCAUCGCUCAACGGAUAAAA
rnacentral:rRNA from 1 species